rnacentral:rRNA from 1 species
AUACGGAGGAUGCGAGCGUUAUCCGGAUUUAUUGGGUUUAAAGGGAGCGUAGGUGGGAUAUUAAGUCAGCUGUGAAAGUUUGGGGCUCAACCUUAAAAUUGCAGUUGAUACUGGUUUCCUUGAGUACGGUACAGGUGGGCGGAAUUCGUGGUGUAGCGGUGAAAUGCUUAGAUAUCACGAAGAACUCCGAUCGCGAAGGCAGCUCACCGGGCCGGAACUGACACUGAUGCUCGAAAGUGCGGGUAUCAAACAGGAUUAGAUACCCUGGUAGUCCGCACAGUAAACGAUGAAUACUCGCUGUUUGCGAUACACUGUAAGCGGCCAAGCGAAAGCGUUAAGUAUUCCACCUGGGGAGUACGCCGGCAACGGUGAAACUCAAAGGAAUUGACGGG